UCCGGGUUGGUCGAGUUGGUCUAAGACGUGAGAUUUAAGGCCUCAUAGCGAAAGCUGCGUGGGUUCGAACCCCACACCCGGCA